GCUUGACAUGUGAAGAACUGGAAAAAUGUAAGUAUUGCUAUACUUUUUCUAAUUCUAAUUAUAGUACUUCAAUCAAAUGUUUAUUGAUAUUUUUAAUUUAUUAUUCAAUAUUGCUUCUUAUUCUAAUCAUACUUUCUUUUCUAUGUAACAUUUGAAUUGAAAUAGUUGAUGGUUCUACAUCUUCAGCAGGAACAUCAAUUCCAAGUGCUUUGAAGAAUUGAUUCAUGGAAAAUUUCACAUGCAUUGGUUGCUGCUACUUCAUUGAUGUUGCAUUAUCAAAAAAACAAGUAUUUGUUUUGGAAUUAUAAUAAAGGGAUCUUAUUGAAUUACUUUUGAGUUAUGAGUGUUUUGUUUAUGCAUUAGUUGCUACAAUUGAAUUUAGACAAUUAUAGUAGUUAGACUUUUGAUUUGAUUUCCAUUUUAAUUUGUUAAGUCAUGGUUAUGUUGGCUUAUCAUCAAUUAAAAAAUUGCAGCAACAACUUUUUUUUCUCUUCUUUGGUUUGUUGUUUGCGGGUCGGUGCAUGGUCUUGAGCUGUUGUUUUUAUAGCUUAUUUGCAAACCAUCGGUUGUGCCAUUUACCAACCGAACCAGCUAAUAAUUUUGGUUGAACUGAUUUUUGACA
rnacentral:lncRNA from 1 species